rnacentral:ncRNA from 1 species
GACUUAACCAAACUCUGAAGCUAUUUUACCUAAGUGAUAAUGUUACUCAUAUGGUCAAUUAGCCGCGGUAUAGCGCAGAAAUGGCUAUGCUUCCCGACUUGGAUAAGGUGUUUAAAGUAUAUAUAU